rnacentral:rRNA from 1 species
GACUGCUCAGUAAUACUCACUUUUAUUUAAGUAAAUUUUUAAUUAAAUACGUUAAAGUGUAGAUAAGAUGUUUACAGUAAGAGUGAGACCUAUCAGCUAGUUGUUAAGGUAAUGGCUUAACAAGGCUGUGACGGGUAACGGUAUUACUUUGUAAUAUUCCGGAGAAGGAGCCUGAGAGACGGCUACUAAGUCUAAGGAUUGCAGCAGGGGCGAAACUUGACCUAUGGAUUUUAUUUGAGGCAGUUAUGGGAAGUAAUAUUAUAUUGUUUCAUAUUUUAAAAGUAUAUGAGGUGAUUAAUUGGAGGGCAAAUCAAGUGCCAGCAGCCGCGGUAAUACUUGUUCCAAGAGUGUGUAUGAUGAUUGAUGCAGUUAAAAAGUCCGUAGUUUAUUUAGAGACUU